rnacentral:rRNA from 1 species
UACGAAGGGUGCAAACGUUGCUCGGAAUUAUUGGGCGUAAAGCGCACGUAGGCGGCAUUGCAAGUCGGAUGUGAAAUCUUAUGGCUUAACCAUAAAAGUGCAUCCGAAACUGCAGUGCUUGAGUACUUAAGAGGAUCGCGGAAUUCCCGGUGUAGAGGUGAAAUUCGUAGAUAUCGGGAGGAACACCAGUGGCGAAGGCGGUUCUCUGGGACGGUACUGACGCUGAGACGCGAAAGCGUGGGGAGCGAACAGG